GACGGAGGGUGCUAGCGUUGUUCGGAAUCACUGGGCGUAAAGGGCGCGUAGGCGGCCUCUGGUGUCGGCUGUGAAAGCCCGGGGCUCAACCCCGGAGGUGCAUCCGAAACUCUGGGGCUGGAGGUCGGAAGAGGAGGGUGGAAUACCCAGUGUAGAGGUGAAAUUCGUAGAUAUUGGGUGGAACACCGAUGGCGAAGGCAAUCCCCUGGACCUGUACUGACGCUCAGGCACGAAAGCGUGGGGAGCAAACAGG
rnacentral:rRNA from 1 species